GUCGCCUAUGGAAAGAGCAUACCCAACCAAUAUGAGCCUGUCCGAGACUUGCCAUUCCCAUGGAAGAAAGUUUCCCUGCGUAUUGAUUCAUUACCGACUGAACGGAAAAUGCUUGCUUCUAUUCCCUCCCCGUUUUUUUUAUAACUUAUAAGGGCGAUGAACCGUGAUUGUAUAGCUGUACGGAAUCCCUGGGGAGUGAAGGGAUAGGUGAAAAAGGAGGGGGUGGAAGAACUAAGGAAAGUCAUCCAUAAGAUUCCAUACCUUUCUGGCUAUACGGAAGGGCGGAAUGGAUCAUCAGAGGGUGGAAAUUGACUCCAAUUGGAAGACUUGCUUUUCCAUAGGGAUUGCAUGCCCAUUUUAGGGAUAAAUAACUUUUUUUAUGGAGAGAACACGAGGGAUGAGCGACGAUCGGCCUACCUAAGUUUUGACUAGUCAUCAUCGGUUUACCCGCUUGCUGAAACCACCCUCCAUAGCCGAUUUGAUGGUUGGAUAGCCACUCAACUCUUCACUAGACUUCCUGUAUCCCACUCCCCUCUCUAUCUCUCUCGACCCAUUCCUCGGAAUCGGAUUCCGAACCGGAGUAUGUUGGGCUGGAAUGCCUCCAUUCCCAUCUCUUUAUGAUCUCUGGGCCUUCCCGCUAUGAGAGAUUCCCGGCGC